GGCGGCAGGCUUAACACAUGCAAGUCGAGCGCCCCGCAAGGGGAGCGGCAGACGGGUGAGUAACGCGUGGGAAUCUACCCAUCCUUACGGAACAACUCCGGGAAACUGGAGCUAAUACCGUAUACGCCCUUCGGGGGAAAGAUUUAUCGAGGAUGGAUGAGCCCGCGUUGGAUUAGCUAGUUGGUGGGGUAAAGGCCUACCAAGGCGACGAUCCAUAGCUGGUCUGAGAGGAUGAUCAGCCACAUUGGGACUGAGACACGGCCCAAACUCCUACGGGAGGCAGCAGUGGGGAAUAUUGGACAAUGGGCGCAAGCCUGAUCCAGCCAUGCCGCGUGAGUGAUGAAGGCCCUAGGGUUGUAAAGCUCUUUCACCGGAGAAGAUAAUGACGGUAUCCGGAGAAGAAGCCCCGGCUAACUUCGUGCCAGCAGCCGCGGUAAUACGAAGGGGGCUAGCGUUGUUCGGAUUUACUGGGCGUAAAGCGCACGUNNGCGGAUCGAUCAGUCAGGGG
rnacentral:rRNA from 1 species